UACGUAGGUGGCAAGCGUUGUUCGGAAUUAUUGGGCGUAAAGGGCGCGUAGGCGGCCUGUUAAGUCGGUUGUGAAAGCCCGGGGCUCAACCCCGGAAAGUCGACCGAUACUGGCAGGCUAGAGUACGGAAGAGGUAGCUGGAAUUCCCGGUGUAGCGGUGAAAUGCGUAGAUAUCUGGAGGAACACCGGUGGCGAAGGCGGCAUCCUGGACCGGUAUUGACACUGAGGCGCGAAAGCCAGGGGAGCAAACGGG
rnacentral:rRNA from 1 species